UUCCGAACAAGAGGUAUUCAGGGAUGUGU
rnacentral:piRNA from 1 species